rnacentral:rRNA from 1 species
AGCGAACGCUGGCGGCAGGCCUAACACAUGCAAGUCGAGCGCCGUAGCAAUACGGAGCGGCAGACGGGAGAGUAACACGUGGGAACGUACCCUUUGGUUCGGAACAACCCAGGGAAACUUGGGCUAAUACCGGAUAAGCCCUCACGGGGAAAGAUUCAUCGCCGAAGGAUCGGCCCGCGUCUGAUUAGCUAGUUGGUGGGGUAAUGGCCCACCAAGGCGACGAUCAGUAGCUGGUCUGAGAGGAUGAUCAGCUUCACUGGGACUGAGACACGGCCCAGACUCCUACGGGAGGCAGCAGUGGGGAAUAUUGGACAAUGGGCGCAAGCCUGAUCCAGCCAUGCCGCGUGGGUGAUGAAGGCCCUAGGGUUGUAAAGCCCUUUCGGCGGGGAAGAUAAUGACGGUACCCGCAGAAGAAGCCCCGGCUAACUUCGUGCCAGCCGCCGCGGUAA